rnacentral:rRNA from 1 species
CAGCAGCCACGGUAAUACAGAGGGUGCGAGCGUUAAUCGGAUUUACUGGGCGUAAAGCGUGCGUAGGCGGCUUUUUAAGUCGGAUGUGAAAUCCCUGAGCUUAACUUAGGAAUUGCAUUCGAUACUGGGAAGCUAGAGUAUGGGAGAGGAUGGUAGAAUUCCAGGUGUAGCGGUGAAAUGCGUAGAGAUCUGGAGGAAUACCGAUGGCGAAGGCAGCCAUCUGGCCUAAUACUGACGCUGAGGUACGAAAGCAUGGGGAGCAAACAGGAUUAGAUACCCCAGUAGUCCCUGUCUCUUUACA